CCGCAGAAAGGCAGAGAGCUCCCCUCCUCCCCAAAAAAAGCGAGACGACGAGACGAGACGGCGCGCGAGAGGGGAGGGGACGACAACGCGACACCGGCCAAGCAAGCCCUAGGGCGGCGCGACGAACGGUCGUGGCGGCGAAGGCAUCUCGUGCUCUUGUCUUUGCGUGCCCGGAUUCGGUUUCAUCGGAUCGAGUCUCGGCUCGGCCAUGUCGACCAAGAGGGUUCUUUGCAAGUUCUUCGUUCAUGGAGCUUGCUUGAAAGGAGAGUACUGUGAGUUCUCCCAUGACUGGAGGGACCAAGCAAAUAAUGUUUGCACGUUUUACCAGAAAGGCUCAUGCUCAUAUGGUAGUCGUUGCAGAUAUGACCAUGUCAAAGUUUCUCAUAACAACCCAGUGCCUCCGCCACCAUCAUCAAGUACUCCGACACGCAACUCCUCACUGCCUCUGCCACCAUCAAGCACUGUAGCACGUGUCGUGUCUACUUCUCUACAACCUACAAGUGCUGGACGUCCUGUUCAUAUUGGACAUCAAACAAAUCCAAGCAACCAAAGACAACAGAUAUCUAUGGAUAUGCUGGCACAUUCUGAAAGUAAACCUGCAUGGAGGAAUGAUUUCCAACUUGACAGUGUAUCAGAAGAUGGGAUUGACUGGUCAUCCAAUCGAACUGUGCAAAACCAAACAUCCAAGAAACUUGCUGAUAUGCCAAUUUGUUCUUUUGCUGCUGCUGGUAAUUGCCCGUAUGAGGAAGAGUGCCCUAGCAUGCAUGGAGAUUUGUGCACAACCUGUGGGAAAAUGUGCUUGCAUCCUUAUCGUCCUGAUGAAAGAGAGGAACAUAUGAAGCUAUGUGAAAAAAACCACAAGCGUAUUGAGGCUUUGAAACGUAGCCAAGAGAUAGAAUGCAGUGUCUGCUUAGACCGUGUGCUCUCCAAGCCUACAGCUGCAGAAAGGAAAUUUGGACUCUUAUCUGAAUGUGACCAUCCCUUCUGCAUCUCAUGCAUUAGAAAUUGGCGUGGCAAUUCUCCUACGUCUGGUAUGGAUGUGAACUCAGCACUGAGGGCUUGUCCAAUUUGCCGCAAACUAUCGUACUAUGUGAUUCCAAGUGUUCUUUGGUACUUCUCAAAGGAGGAAAAGAUGGAGAUCAUCGACAACUACAAAUCGAAGCUCAAGUCUAUAGAUUGCAAGUACUUUGAUUUUGGAACGGGUACUUGCCCAUUUGGUACAAGCUGUUUCUACAAGCAUGCUUACAGGGAUGGCCGCUUGGAAGAGGUCAUACUGCGACAUCUCGAUGCUGAAGAUGGAACUACACUUAUUGCCAAAAAUAUUAGGUUGUCAGACUUCCUCACUCGGCUGCAUCUUUAGGGACCCGGAUCUGUAUAUAUCACAUGUAAGAUCUUUCAUGGGGCAUUCUGGGACGCUGUCUACCAAUAUUUCCAAUAUUCGGAAGACAUCAGUUUAAAUUGAGGCAUCUUUGAAAACUGCUGCUUUAUAUCCAAUUUAUGGUUGCUUUGUCUCCAAACAUAAGAGAAAUUUUGAAGUUCACUGCGGGACACCUGGAUGACCUUAAUAUAGAAGCACUGUUGAUCCAUGGAACAAACAACGUAAAAGAAGCCUUGUCGCGAGUUUGCUUGGAGAGUCAAAAUACAAGAAUUAGAACUGUUGAAACGCUUUUCUAUCUGCACUUUGUGUUACUUCCCGGGUCACCAGUGAUUCAGUAGAACAAUCCCUGGCCAUUGUGCGAAGGGCAGGUGUAUAAUACCCUCGUUUCCAAACUGCCCUUUCCCAGUCGAGGAAAGCUCCCCGCACCAACAACUCCUUAGCUGAGAGCCUGAGCCCGUUUGUUUGUAUAACUCAAUACACAUAAGAAAAAUAAACAAAGAAUGCAUGUCAUAAUUCAGACUGUUUUCUAA